rnacentral:tRNA from 1 species
GGCUAUUUAGUUUAAUUAAAAUGUUGGUUUUGUAAACCAGAGAUAACUAUAGUUUUUAGCCU